rnacentral:rRNA from 1 species
AGAGUUUGAUCAUGGCUCAGAACGAACGCUGGCGGCAGGCCUAACACAUGCAAGUCGAAGGAGAAGUUUCUCUUCGGAGAGAUGGACACUGGCGCACGGGUGAGUAACGCGUGGGGAUCUACCCCGGGGUGGGGGACAACCGCUGGAAACGGCGGCUAAUACCGCAUACGCCUUAAGAGGGAAAGCUUUAGCGCCCUGGGAUGAACCCGCGUUAGAUUAGGUAGUUGGUGGGGUAACGGCCUACCAAGCCGACGAUCUAUAGCUGGUCUGAGAGGAUGAUCAGCCACACUGGGACUGAGACACGGCCCAGACUCCUACGGGAGGCAGCAGUGGGGAAUAUUGGACAAUGGGGGCAACCCUGAUCCAGCCAUGCCGCGUGCGUGAAGAAGGCCUUAGGGUUGUAAAGCGCUUUCACUGGUGAAGAUGAUGACGGUAGCCAGAGAAGAAGCCCCGGCUAACUCCGUGCCAGCAGCCGCGGUAAUACGGAGGGGGCAAGCGUUGUUCGGAAUUACUGGGCGUAAAGGGCGCGUAGGCGGAAUAUCAAGUUAGGGGUGAAAGGCCUGGGCUCAACCUAGGAACGGCCUCUAAAACUGAUAAUCUAGAGUCCGGAAGAGGAUGGCGGAAUUCC